rnacentral:rRNA from 1 species
AGUGAACGCUGGCGGCGUGCCUAAUACAUGCAAGUCGAACGGAGUGGCGCACGGAGGAGUAAUGUCUAGAUAAUCUGACCUACACUAUAGGACAACAGAUGGAAACGACUGAUAAUACUCUAUAGUGUAGGAUGAGGGUAUAUUGUAUCAGCUAGUUGGUGAGGUAAUGGAUCACCAAGGCUAUGACGCAUAACUGGUCUGAGAGGAUGAUCAGUCACACGGGAACUGAGACACGGUCCAGACUCCUACGGGAGGCAGCAGUAGGGAAUAUUGCUCAAUGGGGGAAACCCUGAAGCAUCAACGCGGCGUGGAGGAGGACACUUUUCGGAGCGUAAACUCCUUUUGUUAGGGAAGCGGUACCUAACGAAUAAGCACCGGCUAACUCCGUGCCAGCAGCCGCGGUAAUUC